UACGUAGGCAGCGAGCGUUGUUCGGAGUUACUGGGCGUAAAGAGUGCGUAGGCGGUUUCGCAAGUUUGGUGUGAAAUCUCCCGGCUUAACUGGGAGGUGCGCCGAAAACUGCGAGGCUUGAGAGUGGGAGAGGUAAGCGGAAUUCCCGGUGGUAGCGGUGAAAUGACGUAGAGUAUACGGGAGGAACACCAGCGGUGUAGACGGCUUACUGGACCACGACUGACGCUGAGGCACGAAAGCGUGGGGAGCAAACAGG
rnacentral:rRNA from 1 species